AUUGAACGCUGGCGGCAGGCCUAACACAUGCAAGUCGAACGAGUGGCGGACGGGUGAGUAAUGUCUGGGAAACUGCCUGAUGGAGGGGGAUAACUACUGGAAACGGUAGCUAAUACCGCAUACCAUCGGAUGUGCCCAGAUGGGAUUAGCUUGUUGGUGGGGUAAUGGCUCACCACGGCGACGAUCCCUAGCUGGUCUGAGAGGAUGACCAGACACACUGGAACUGAGACACGGGCCAGACGCCUACGGGAGGCAGCAGGGGGGAAUAUGGCACAAUGGGCGCAAGCCGGAUGCAGCCAUGCCGCGUGUAUGAAGAAGGCCUUCGGGUUGUAAAGUACUUUAAGCGGGGAGGCGUUACCCGCAGAAGAAGCACCGGCUAACUCCGUGCCAGCAGCCGCGGUAAUAC
rnacentral:rRNA from 1 species